GGGAAAGAGGUUCUUGUGGAGAUUCCAACCCGUGUUUUGGUGAGGAUGAUGAAACACCAUUCAUAAGGAAGGCGAGGACAAACAGAGCGCAACUUGUGCCUCACUACCACACGGAUGGCUGGGUGCAGAGCUCCUGAGGAGAUGGAGAAGAGCACUUGCUGACACAAGCCAUGGCAGUCAGACACAAGCUGCAGCUAGCGUUGGGACGUUCUUGCAGCCAGCUGAUUCCCAGACCUUUCCCUCCACAAGAGACUCAAUUGCAUGGCAGAACAAAGCUGGGAAUAUACUUCUCCCUCAUGACUUUUCUCUUGUGGAUGAUUUCUGCAGGGUUCCUGUUUGCAGGGAGAUUUGGAGGAUCGAGGCAGUCUUAGGAAGAGUGAAGCCAGCUCUUUCCAAGAGCAGGGAAAGUUCCUGUGGAGAGAGCUUGUGAGAGAACUUGUGCUUCCUCUGACACUUGAGCGAUCAUGUCUCAGCAAGGAGACAAGUGCGGAUCCAAUGCCUGCUCUGUGAGCGGAAAGGUAUGGCUGGGUUCCUUUGGCUUGACUUUUCUUCUUUGUUCCCAUUUGUAAGGGGAAGGAGUGGAGCAGGGGGCUAAUGGCACGGGCAGGGCUCAGGCUGUAUUUUCCCUUAGAGAUCAAUGAUGUCUCAGCACUCUGAUAUCCCAUCUCUGGCACGAUCUGGAAGCUCUCUGCCAAACUCAGCUGCCCGUUCCGACCUGAGUUUCUUCCUUUCUCUCUUCAGAGGCGGCGCGACACUAUUUGCCGUGUUUGGGAAAUGCAGCCAGCAGACUGCCAGACAUCCAGCUGCACCUUUCAGCGCGCAGAGGGACGCAAUGGGGAUGGACUGUCUUUACUGCCACGCAAAAGGACAGAGCCCGUGCGUCCAUGCAAUGGUGCUGGGCAAGGUGGGAAACGGAAAGCCCACGCAGGUAAGAACCUCUUGUGAGCUGUGGUGUGGGUACCUGCCACUAAAUAGGGCUGCAUGAAGGGGUGCAUGUGUGAUGGAAGAGUGAAGAAAGCCCACUGCAGAUCUGUGCUGACUGCAGAAAUGGCACCAUGCUGUAGCAGCAAAAAGGAAAAUGGUAGGAACUACACUUGGAGAGUUGAAGUUGGUGGUUGGCUGUGCUCAAAUCUUCCUCCCAAGAGAUGCUCUUCAAGUAUUUCUUGUUUCUUUCUGCCAGAAGAUGACGCAAGCGGCCUUCCAGCAAAGCGCAGCCUUGCGGCAGGUCUGGGUAGGACUGCAGCCUGUGACGUGGCACCCAAGAGAGGUACAGAGGCACAACAGGCAUCAGGGUUUGAUUCAAUGUCUUUCUAGUUAGGCUUUCUGUCCUUUCUUUCUUCAUACUCCUUUUGCUGCGUGUUGCUUGAGGUCUUCGUCCCUGGGAUUUACAAUUACCUUCCCUGUCCAGAUUUGAAAUGCAAACCCACACUUCAGCUAAGAUCCUAAGAUC
rnacentral:lncRNA from 1 species